GAUGAACGCUGGCGGCGUGCCUAAUACAUGCAAGUCGAGCGAACAGACGAGGUGCUUGUUCCUCUUACGUUAGCGGCGGACGGGUGAGUAACACGUGGAUAACCUACCUAUAAGACUGGGAUAACUUCGGGAAACCGGAGCUAAUACCGGAUAAUAUAUUUAACCGCAUGGUUCAAUAGUGAAAGACGGUUUUGCUGUAACUUAUGAAUGUCUCCCGGCGGCAUUAGCUAGUUGUUAAGGUAACGCCUUACCAAGGCAACGAUGCUUAGCCGACCUGAGAGGGUGAUCGCCCACAUUGGAACUGAGACACGCCCCAGACCCCUACGGGAGGAAGCAGUAGGGAAUCUUCGGCAAUGGGCGAAAGCUUGACGGAGCAACGCCGCGGGAGUGAUGAAGGUCUUCGGAUCGUAAAACUCUGUGAUUAGGGAAGAACAAAUGUGUAAGUAACUAUGCACGUAUUGACGGUACCUAAUCAGAAAGCCACGGCUAACUACGUG
rnacentral:rRNA from 1 species